GGUGCCCCGCACAGGAGCCAGCUUUGCACUUAGUGCAGACUAGACAGCCAUGUAGUUUAGCAGGGGCAGCAUUGACAGAAACCAGAGAGCUGUAAAUGCCACACUGGGGUGGCUGGGCCACAUGUGCUAUUAACCAGACAGUCUUGUUCCAUGUCUGGAGUCUGAGCACAUUUUAGGCCCUGGUGGCUGGGCAGCACCCUGUGGGGACCGUUAACCACUUAGCUGAGACCCGUUGAGCAGAUGCCUCUGAAAUCUAUGCUGGUUUGAACCCCCCCUGGGGUAUUUUGUGCUCUUAGGGACACCAUAGUAAUUGAUGUAAUAUGCCUAAGAUGGACUGAAACUGUCUGAUAUUGGAAUAAAUUUAGCCUCACUGGUAAUAAAAGAUAAGUGCAUGAAAACAAGAUGUCAUUUUACUAUAAUUUUCCCUGGCCAUUUUAUUAUAAUUUUUAGAUUGGCCAAGGUUAAGAAAGAUGACAGCUCUGUGGGCUAGAGGGUGGAGAGACAAGCCCUCUCCUACACUGGUGAGGGGUGCCAGGAUUCUGUAGCAACACCUUUGAGUGAGCAUAACCUUGGACUCAAACAAUUUUCCUUACAGGCAAUAACCUACGAAAUACUGGGAUAUACGCACAAAGAUCCAUGUGCCAGGAUAUGUGUUGGAGGAUUUAUAUUUGGAGAAAAUUAAAUGCGCAAUGAGAGGAUCGCUGUAGAAGUAGAGAUCAGGCAUGACCUCCCACCAGUGUUUGCGGGCAAUUGUGCCGCUGCAUGGGCAGAAUUUCCCGGGCCAGCAUCCACAUCAAGUCCACUGAGUGAGCUUCCUGUUGCAUGGGAUGGCAAUGUCCACAUGGUGCAGAGGAGAAUCUGUGUGACACAGAGCAAUGGUGCUGUUAUUAUUCCCACUUUACAGAGGGGAAGGCUGAAGCUCAAAGAAGCAAGGCAACUCUCAGGGGUCACAGAAGUGAUAAACUGAGGAGUUGGAAUUCCAGAGUCCAAGCUGGUGACGAGCACCGUGAACUCCUCUUCUCUGGCCACCACUCUACUCUACAACAAAGUCUAUAAAUUAUGGCCAUGGCCAGAUCCAGCUCGCCACCUGUUUCUCUGCUGUUCCCAAGAUGGGAAAACUGACACACAGAAAGGCAAAGGACCCCAUUAAAGUCACACGGCGAGUGAAUGUCAAAGCCAGGACCUGCAGAGGCUAUGGUGGGGGAGAGCACUUGGAGGAGAUGGGAAGGAAUCGUUGCAGGGACAGGUCUCACCCUCACUAGUGCUCACUCCAUUACUUGCCGAAUACACUGGGAGAAACACGCCCCUUCUCUUGACCCGGCUCUUUUCCACAAGGAAGUACGGGACGGAAAUUAAAGAAGAAAGUGGUUCCACAGGUUUGGUGGCUACAAAAAGAUUUCCUCGAUAAACACUGCCCACAGUCACUCAUUUGUGAAAGCUGCAUGAUGUGAAAUUAAACUCGGGCAGAGGUGCUGUGGGUGAUGAUGUCUCGGUGGCUUGGGGAAAUGAAAGCCAUUCAUCUCAGGCAAAUGUGACAGGCAGGACCAUUGGCUUUCCGUCACCUAUGGGCUGCCUUCUCAUGGCAGUGGCCUAUGCAGGCCUUACGUUUUUGCAGCAAAUUUGUAAUGAACCAAUCAGUGGCCUUCAUGUCAGGCAAUCUAGGAAGGUUUUGGAAGUGGGACUACUUGCCCCACUGUUGGUGAGUAUUAGAUAUCCCUUUAGGAAGGUUCAAGAGCCCAUGCUGGCCAGGCGCGGUGGCUCAUGCCUGUAAUCCCAGCACUUUGGGAGGUCGAGGUGGGCAGAUCACUUGAGGUUAGGAAUUCAAGACCAGCCUGGACAACACAGCAAGACCCCAUCUCUACUAAAAAUACAAAAAUUAGCUGGAUAUGGUGGUGGGCGUCUGUAGUCCCAGCUACAUGGGAGGUUGAGGCAGGAGAAUCUCUUGAACCGGGGAGGUGGAGGUUCCAGUAGAGCCAAGAUUGCACCACUGCAUGCCAGCCUGGCAGCAGAGUGAGACUGUGUCUCACAACACACACACACACACACAGAGAGAAAGAGAGAGAGAGAGAGAGAGAGAGAGAGAGAGAGAGAGAGAGAGAGAGAGAAACAGAGCCCAUAGAAAACGUCUUGUGAAUGCUUAAACGCACCUGGCUCCUUUUACAAACUUCUUUCCACUUCUCUUGAGUCCCAUGUGAAAGUUUUCACUGCCCCCACCGGCUCCUCACCUUCUCCUUCAGAGUCUCACAUGCAUCUCUUUCAGUCUCAAGAGGUGCUAGAAAAAAUGCUGGAUUCCUUAAAGGAGUGUUUAUGUUGGAAACCAGCAUCACUAGGAAAUGGCUGGUCCUGACCCCAAGCAACUUAUCUCUGGCGGAGGUCGGAGAGGCUGGUACCCGUCUGCUCCCGACUGACCCUCAUUCCUUCCUGGUUGGGUGGUAGGAACUAACAGGCCAGGCCCCUUGGUGUGGGUUUCUGGCUUCCUAGGUUCCCUGAGGUCACAUCUUUUGUUCUCAUCAUCAUCUGUCUGUUCCCAGUGAAGGAGAACUGCUUCAGGACACUGUUUCUCAAAUUUCACUUCUUUGCACACAACCUUCAUGGUUUUUGCUCCAGCUAUGUACAAUUAAAGCUACUAUUAACUUAAUAUUUUUGUUGACAUAAAAGUUUACUUAAACUUAUGUCACUAAGGUAAAUGGAAAGCCAAUAUAAUGUUCUAUAAAUAGACUUUACAAGUAAAGAGAAAUACAGUGAAUCAUGUUAUUGUCUGCUAGCUGAUACUUGUGCCUAAGAAGGCUCUUAACCCGAGAACUGCCCGUCUUUUGUUAAAAAGGAAGAUGGACAUGUGUUGGAGAAGGGUUAAGGACCUCCUAGCACCAUCCUGAGCCUUUCUCCUUGAUUUAAUUGAAUGGACUGAAUGAGGAUAGAAAAAGAGUCACUUACUCUGGGAUUCAAUGCUGUUUCAAGCGGUGGCCCCUCUACCAUCCAAAGUCACUUGGGGUCACACGCUUUGGGAGACACCAUUCCAGUAGAUAUUGUAUCUUCAGGCCCAGCUUGUUCUGGCCUGGAGAUCCUCUAUAAGGGGUCCCCAAAUUGGGCCACCCUUGAACUAGGAAUUCCAGGUCUUGGGCAAUUAUUAGUGCUGGAGCCAUUGUUGCUUAGUGCAUAUUUUCCCAGUAGACAUUGGCCUUAGAGUUAAAUUAAAACUCCAGGAUGGGAUCUAGAAAUGAGCUCAUAUCAGUCUUCUCCCAGGGGGUCUUAUGAGUGUUAAAGUCUGUGGGACCUUUCAUCCCCACCUUAGCUUCUUGUCAGCCCCACACGGACUUUGAAGGAAGAGGAUGGUCUUCCCAACCCCCACAGCAUCCUCCGUGGACACAGCAAGCAACUCUGCAGGGUGUGCAUUCACUUAACACAUAUUAAGUGUGUGCCAGGUGCCAGACAUUGUGACAGCUAUGGCAGGGCCGGGGGCAGGGGUCCUAGAAAGAGGAGGAGAGCAUGGAUGCAAAGCCCAACCCAGACUUUGAGGCGAUUGUUUUUUAAGGCUGUUUUUAGCACUUGAAGGUACAUGUCUACCUCCAAAAACUUUUCAUAAACAAAUGGGAAGGUUUUGCUUUCGGCAAUGGCAGCUAACUUGUUUUGGACAAAUCUUCCUGCUGAGAACAACUAGAAAACCUGGGCGUAAAAAACAAAAUCUGAUCAAAGGCUUUGGAAAGCUACCAAAGGCAACCAGGAUUCAAGGGGCCAAGAUCCCAGAAAGAAAAGAAACCGUUAACGCUGAGUCUGAUAUUUCAAACCACUUUUCCCCCUAAGGCAUUCAUUGAUUUGAAGGCAGAUUUAUGGAGCUAGGGCAAAAAAUACGGGCAUUCAGAGACAGCCACAGAAGGAGGGCCCUGGUAAACACCCUAGGAUUGAUUUAGGACCCCGGAGAGCUGCUCCUUAGCAGUAAGGGAGAGCUAGAAACAGACCGUCCUUCAGAAGGACUGAAGCUCGGCUCUGAGCCAUUAAAAUCCAUGAUUGAAUCAGGUUCAUCUUUUCCUAACCUAACUGCCUGUUAGAAGCAAAAUAUACCCUCUUUGGAAAGAGACUGGAAGUUUUUUCCAUCCCUCCUCAUAUUUUACUGCUCUGUAUUUUAUUCCAGCCACUGUUGCCGCAACUAAUUUUGUGCAGCUGUAACUCAACAUCACCUGCCUCAGCCUUUGCUAUCUCUAACUUCCCAUGUCAGGGCUACUCUGACGCCUCUGUCCAUGGGAAUCUACCUUUCCAUCACGCACAUGCAUCCUGGAAGUGAAAUGGAAUUAACCACCCAUAAGCAACCCUUGACCAAUGGGGAAUGUGAGCUGGGGAAUAAAUGCUUCUUUCUUCCAUUCUUUAGGCAGGACAUUUUGAGACGCAAUUAGAUUUUUGUUGUUGUUGUUUACGAGGUCUUAGCUUGGAUCAACCCCCAGUUACCCCCAGUAAUGACCGAUUCAAGAGUGUACUCAUGAAUUGGCUUUCUCUCUUUCCCUGUCACAUUCUUCUCAGAAUCCCACUCCUGUGUGCUUGGAUUACUAACAAAAUUAACCUGCACACAAAUCAAGGUCUCAGGUUCUCCUUUCUGGAGGAAUCCAGGCUAAGACUAAUACAAUAUAGGGGGUUAAAAUAUUCUACACUUUUAAUCUACAAGGUCUAGCACACAAUUACAAAAAUGCUGGGAAGACAAAAAGGCAAGAUUAGAACAAAAACCAAGAAAAAAUACAGUCAACAGAAAUAGAACUACAGGGAAUUCAGAUAUUGGCAUUAUUUGACAGGGACUUUAAAAUAAUAAUUAUUAAAACACUCAAAGCACUAGGUGACAGGAUGAGGAAUUUUGGCAGGGAAUAACAAACUGUAGGAGAGAAUCAAAUAAAAUUUCUACUGAGAAAUGCUUGAAAAUGAGAGCUCAGUGGAUGUGUUUUUGAUAGUAGAUUAGAUGCAGCUGAAAAGAAAAUUAGUAAUCUGAAAAAUAAAUUAGAAGAACAUAUGUAAAUGAAGCAAAGAAAGAUAAAAGGUGGAAAAUGAAAGAACAUGAGACACAUAAUAAGAUGCAACAGUCUAAAACAUGGAAUUGGAAUCACAGAGGAGAGAGAGAAUAUGGAAGAAAUACGAUUAAAGAUAUUUGAUGAGAAUUAUUCAAAAAUGAUAAAAGACAUUCAUCCAUAUAUUAAAGAAGCUAUAAGAACCUUAUGCAGUAAAUACAAAGAAAAUCAUCCCUAGUCAUAUCAUAGUCAAACUGCUUAAAGCUAAAGACAAAGAGAAAACCUUAUAAAGCAUCCAGAGAGAAGAUAUGUUACUUUCAAAGAAACAAAGAUAACAGCUAAAAAUAAUGGAAGCCAAAAGGCAAUAAAAUGAUAGCUUCAAAGUGCAGGAAAAAAAAACUAUCAACCUAGAUUCUCUAUCCAGAAUACUACUUUUAAAAAUUAAGGAAAAAUGGAGACAUUCUUUGACAAAAGCCAAGAUAAUUUCUCACCAGAAGAUUAAUGCUAAAGAAGAUAAUAAGUAGUAUUCUCCAGGUAGAAGAAAAGUGAUCCUUCAUGGCAAUUUAGGAAUUCAGGAUGAAAUAAAGAACAAUGUAGAGGAUAAAUAAUAAAUGGAUAGAUCUAAAUGAAUACUGAUUGCAUAAAUUAAUAUGUUUAUCUUUUUAUAUGAUAGGGUUUGUAAUGAUAAUAGGUUUAUUAUUGUGGUAACAUGUUUAUAAUUAUUACAUUAAGAUAAUAUACAGUUGACUCUUAAACAACACUGGGGUUAGUGGUGGUGACCUGCUGCACAGUUAAAAAUCCAUGUAUAACUUUUUAUUGAUUUAUUUUUAAUUACAAUUUUUUAAAUUUAAGAGAUAGGUUUUGCUAUGUUGCCCAGGCUGGUCUCAAACUCAUGGGCUCAAGUGAUCAACCCACCUCAGCCUCCAAAACUGCUGGGAUUACAGGUAUGAGCUACUGCACCUGGCCAAAAAUCCAUGUAUAACUUUUGACUCCUCAAAAACUUAACUACUAAUAGCCUAUUGCUGAUCAGAAGCCUUACUGAAAACACAAAUAGUUAGUUAACACAUAUUUUAUAAGUUACAUGGAUUGUAUGCCAUAUUCUUAUAAUAAAGUAAGCUAGGGAACCUGCACAUUGUGCACAUGUACCCUAAAACUUAAAGUAUAAUAAUAAUAAAAUUAAAAAAAAUCAUAAGGAAGAGAAAAUAUAUUUACUAUUUGUUAAGUGGUGUGUGGAUCAUCAUAAAGGUCUUCAUCCUUGCCGUCUUCAUACUGAGUAGGCUGAGGAGCAAGAGGAAGAGGAGGGGUUGGUCUUGGCUGUCUCAGUGGUGGCAGAAGUGAAAGGAAAUCUAUGUGUAAGUAGACCUAUGCAGUUCAAACCCACGUUGUUCAAGGGUCAACUAUACAUAGAAUUGAAACACAUGACAAUAAAAACAUUUAAAUUAGGAGGUAGUAAGUGGAGUUAAAGUGUUCCAAGGACCUUUUGUUUUCUGACAAAUGGUAAAAGCACACACACACACGCACAUAUAUAUGCAUAUGUGCGUGUGUGUGUGUGUGUGUGUGUGUAGAUGGAAACUUAGGGAUUCAGAAUGAAAUAAAUGUGUGUAGGGGUGUGUGUGUGUUUAUGUGUGUGUGUGUGUGUGUGUGUGUGUGUGUGUGUGUAUACUAUUUUUUGAGAUAGGGUCUUGCUCUGUUGCCCAGGCUGGAGUGCAGUGGCACAAAUAUGGCUCGCUGCAGCCUCGGCCUCUUGGGCUCAAGCAGUGCUUCUUCCAACUCAGCCUCCUAAGUAGCUGGGACCACAGAUGCAUGCCACCACAUCCAGCAAAUUUUAAAAUUUUUUCGUAGAGACAGGAUCUCACAUGCUGCCCAGGCUAGACUUAUUUUUUCUGGUACAUCAGGGAUGUAUGUUGCAAUCUCUAGGUAAAUCCAUAAGACAGUAAAAGAAUGUAUAAAUAAUAAGAUAAUUGAGAGUGUUAUGUAAUAAUACAUAUUGAAUAUUUUCAAAAAGAAAAUAAUGAAGAUGGGAAAAAGGGAGCCUAUACUAGAUGAUGCAAAAGAAAGGUAACAAGAUGAUAAUAUAUUUAAAAUCGAAUGAAUUACAUAUUUUAAUUAAGGGAUGAAGAUUAUUAGACUGUUUAGAAAAACAAAGUCAACAAUAUGCUGCUUACAAGGGACUAUCAUAAACAGGAGGAUAGAUUGAAAAUAAAUGGAUAGAAAAAGAUAGAUGAAAAGAAAGCUGAAAUAGCUUUGCUAAUAUCAGACAAAGUAUAAUUUCAGGCAAAAAUAUUACUAGAGGUAAAGAGGGAUAUUUCUUUUUUUUUUUUUGAGAUGGAGUUUUGUUCUUGUUGCCCAGCCUAGAGUGCAAUGGCGUGAUCUCAGCUCACCGCAACCUCUG
rnacentral:lncRNA from 1 species